rnacentral:rRNA from 1 species
GGGUUGUGAGGUUAAGCGACUAAGCGUACACGGUGGAUGCCCUGGCAGUCAGAGGCGAUGAAGGACGUGCUAAUCUGCGAUAAGCGUCGGUAAGGUGAUAUGAACCGUUAUAACCGGCGAUUUCCGAAUGGGGAAACCCAGUGUGUUUCGACACACUAUCAUUAACUGAAUCCAUAGGUUAAUGAGGCGAACCGGGGGAACUGAAACAUCUAAGUACCCCGAGGAAAAGAAAUCAACCGAGAUUCCCCCAGUAGCGGCGAGCGAACGGGGAGGAGCCCAGAGCCUGAAUCAGUGUGUGUGUUAGUGGAAGCGUCUGGAAAGGCGCGCGAUACAGGGUGACAGCCCCGUACACAAAAAUGCACAUACUGUGAGCUCGAUGAGUAGGGCGGGACACGUGGUAUCCUGUCUGAAUAUGGGGGGACCAUCCUCCAAGGCUAAAUACUCCUGACUGACCGAUAGUGAACCAGUACCGUGAGGGAAAGGCGAAAAGAACCCCGGCGAGGGGAGUGAAAAAGAACCUGAAACCGUGUACGUACAAGCAGUGGGAGCCUCUUUUAUGGGGUGACUGCGUACCUUUUGUAUAAUGGGUCAGCGACUUAUAUUCUGUAGCAAGGUUAACCGAAUAGGGGAGCCGAAGGGAAACCGAGUCUUAACUGGGCGUUAAGUUGCAGGGUAUAGACCCGAAACCCGGUGAUCUAGCCAUGGGCAGGUUGAAGGUUGGGUAACACUAACUGGAGGACCGAACCGACUAAUGUUGAAAAAUUAGCGGAUGACUUGUGGCUGGGGGUGAAAGGCCAAUCAAACCGGGAGAUAGCUGGUUCUCCCCGAAAGCUAUUUAGGUAGCGCCUCGUGAAUUCAUCUCCGGGGGUAGAGCACUGUUUCGGCAAGGGGGUCAUCCCGACUUACCAACCCGAUGCAAACUGCGAAUACCGGAGAAUGUUAUCACGGGAGACACACGGCGGGUGCUAACGUCCGUCGUGAAGAGGGAAACAACCCAGACCGCCAGCUAAGGUCCCAAAGUCAUGGUUAAGUGGGAAACGAUGUGGGAAGGCCCAGACAGCCGAGGAUGUUGGCUUAGAAGCAGCCAUCAUUUAAAGAAAGCGUAAUAGCUCACUGGUCGAGUCGGCCUGCGCGGAAGAUGUAACGGGGCUAAACCAUGCACCGAAGCUGCGGCAGCGACGCUUAUGCGUUGUUGGGUAGGGGAGCGUUCUGUAAGCCUGUGAAGGUGUACUGUGAGGUAUGCUGGAGGUAUCAGAAGUGCGAAUGCUGACAUAAGUAACGAUAAAGCGGGUGAAAAGCCCGCUCGCCGGAAGACCAAGGGUUCCUGUCCAACGUUAAUCGGGGCAGGGUGAGUCGACCCCUAAGGCGAGGCCGAAAGGCGUAGUCGAUGGGAAACAGGUUAAUAUUCCUGUACUUGGUGUUACUGCGAAGGGGGGACGGAGAAGGCUAUGUUGGCCGGGCGACGGUUGUCCCGGUUUAAGCGUGUAGGCUGGUUUUCCAGGCAAAUCCGGAAAAUCAAGGCUGAGGCGUGAUGACGAGGCACUACGGUGCUGAAGCAACAAAUGCCCUGCUUCCAGGAAAAGCCUCUAAGCAUCAGGUAACAUCAAAUCGUACCCCAAACCGACACAGGUGGUCAGGUAGAGAAUACCAAGGCGCUUGAGAGAACUCGGGUGAAGGAACUAGGCAAAAUGGUGCCGUAACUUCGGGAGAAGGCACGCUGAUAUGUAGGUGAAGCGACUUGCUCGUGGAGCUGAAAUCAGUCGAAGAUACCAGCUGGCUGCAACUGUUUAUUAAAAACACAGCACUGUGCAAACACGAAAGUGGACGUAUACGGUGUGACGCCUGCCCGGUGCCGGAAGGUUAAUUGAUGGGGUUAGCGGUAACGCGAAGCUCUUGAUCGAAGCCCCGGUAAACGGCGGCCGUAACUAUAACGGUCCUAAGGUAGCGAAAUUCCUUGUCGGGUAAGUUCCGACCUGCACGAAUGGCGUAAUGAUGGCCAGGCUGUCUCCACCCGAGACUCAGUGAAAUUGAACUCGCUGUGAAGAUGCAGUGUACCCGCGGCAAGACGGAAAGACCCCGUGAACCUUUACUAUAGCUUGACACUGAACAUUGAGCCUUGAUGUGUAGGAUAGGUGGGAGGCUUUGAAGUGUGGACGCCAGUCUGCAUGGAGCCGACCUUGAAAUACCACCCUUUAAUGUUUGAUGUUCUAACGUUGGCCCCUGAUCGGGGUUGCGGACAGUGUCUGGUGGGUAGUUUGACUGGGGCGGUCUCCUCCUAAAGAGUAACGGAGGAGCACGAAGGUUGGCUAAUCCCUGGUCGGACAUCAGGAGGUUAGUGCAAUGGCAUAAGCCAGCUUGACUGCGAGCGUGACGGCGCGAGCAGGUGCGAAAGCAGGUCAUAGUGAUCCGGUGGUUCUGAAUGGAAGGGCCAUCGCUCAACGGAUAAAAGGUACUCCGGGGAUAACAGGCUGAUACCGCCCAAGAGUUCAUAUCGACGGCGGUGUUUGGCACCUCGAUGUCGGCUCAUCACAUCCACGGGGCUGAAGUAGGUCCCAAGGGUAUGGCUGUUCGCCAUUUAAAGUGGUACGCGAGCUGGGUUUAGAACGUCGUGAGACAGUUCGGUCCCUAUCUGCCGUGGGCGCUGGAGAACUGAGGGGGGCUGCUCCUAGUACGAGAGGACCGGAGUGGACGCAUCACUGGUGUUCGGGUUGUCAUGCCAAUGGCACUGCCCGGUAGCUAAAUGCGGAAGAGAUAAGUGCUGAAAGCAUCUAAGCACGAAACUUGCCCCGAGAUGAGUUCUCCCUGAGACUUUAAGUCUCCUGAAGGAACGUUGAAGACGACGACGUUGAUAGGCCGGGUGUGUAAGCGCAGCGAUGCGUUGAGCUAACCGGUACUAAUGAACCGUGAGGCUUAACCUUACAACGCCGAAGGUGUUU